rnacentral:rRNA from 1 species
UACGUAGGGUGCGAGCGUUGUCCGGAAUUAUUGGGCGUAAAGAGCUCGUAGGUGGUUUGUCACGUUGUUCGUGAAAACCCACAGCUCAACUGUGGGCGUGCGAGCGAUACGGGCAGACUAGAGUACUGCAGGGGAGACUGGAAUUCCUGGUGUAGCGGUGGAAUGCGCAGAUAUCAGGAGGAACACCGGUGGCGAAGGCGGGUCUCUGGGCCGAUACUGACGCUGAGGAGCGAAAGCGUGGGGAGCGAACAGGA